CUUAUAUAUAUUCCAAGCAAACCCUAAUUUCCACUGCGCAUUGCUUGCUUAGCAAAUCCCAGAAAAAAACCAGCUUGUUAUUGUUCAUAUGACUGGAAGGUGAAAAUUUUCCACUAUUCAAUGGGUUUUCUAGUUCACUUCGAGUACACAUUGCUAUCUUUUGUUGUUGUUUAUUUUAAGUAUUAUGUUUAGCAUUUUGUUUGGAUACCGAGAAAAUUUGGGAGAGAAAUUUAAGAAAGGAAAUGAAAAUUGAAAUUAUCAAAGUUUGGAUCUUUUCAUUGUUUUGUACCUUUUGGCUUUAUUUGAGUUUGUGCAUUUCAUUUUUGCGAUUAACCCGUGAACCUGUUGGGGUCCCUUUAAUCUUCUUUUCUUUUCUCGGUAGCCAAACUGAAGUUUAGAAUUCUAUCCCAAUAUUUUUUUAGUAAUGCAUGGUAUUUGAUGUGACUUAGUUGGGUUUGUGGGGUUUUACAAUUCAGUCUAGCUCAGUGACUACAUUUUGUUGAUAUUUGAAGGAUUUGAGCUUUUAGUAGUGAUGACUCUGUAAUUGCUAACCGCAAUUUCAAGCUGGUUCUGUGUGUUUGGUUUCUGGCCUCUAGUAUUUCAGUUUUUGGGGUUUUGAUGAUUUUUUGAAUUCAUGGAAUUUGUGGUGUCAUGCUUGUUCCUGCACUUUGAUCUCUGUUUUUGAGCUCUGAUUGAGAAUUUUUCUUUGCAUCCCAAUGAAGAGUUAUAUAAAAAUUAAAAGUAGUGGACUGAAUUUCUAUUGAUGAGCAAUGGAUUCUGAGGGGUGUUCUAAUAUAGCUUUGCAAAUUAAAAGUAGUGAUAAUAUUAGGUUUUUGUCUGUCAUUACAUGCUUUGUGGGUAGAAAAAAAAAAUUUGCAUGUGAACUUGUUCUGUCAAUUAAUUGUGAAAUUCAUUUAUUAAUUACUAUGUGAUAUACCUUGCAAAGUACUAAAUUGCAUCCCUGUGAGGAUUUUGUUCAAUUAAAAAGUAGUGGACUGAUCUUAAUUGAUGAACAACUCAACUCUGAGGGAUGUGCUUGGUAUUAUAACGUUGUAAUAUUUUGUUUAUUUGCAUCCAAUGCAACUGUGUUUGUAAAGUUAUAAGAUAAGUUCCUUUUCUGUAAAAAUAAUUGUAUAGGCAGGGAGCCAUUUGAUGGCCUUGCUUGAACUCCAUUAUAUGGGUUGUUUUGAAUUCAUUCAAACAGAAAAAGCAACAUAGAGUUAUGAGAUGAAAUUAUUUUUGUUUUAUUUUACUUUUUUGUUUGUUAUUUACUUUGCAUAUUGCACAUGCAGAAUCCAUCCACCUCUCAUAAAGGAGCUAAAUGAAACCAAAGUUUCAUGUUCUGUUUUGAAUUGAUUGUCUACCCAUUGACUAACCUCUUGCAUAUGCGUGAGUAUGUAUAUGUGUGCAUGCACAUCUUUGUGGGCUAUGUUCAGGUGCAUUAAAACUUUUUAUGUGCAUCCCAAUGAAGAAUGAUUCAAAUUAAAAGUAGUGGACAGAAAUCUAUUGAUGAGUAAUGAAUUCUGAGGGAUGUGUUUGGUCAUUUUAUUUUUGUAUAAUUCUAUGUUUAUAUGUUUUGUAAGAAAGAAGCUACUUUGCUUGUGAACUUAUACUCUUGAAUAAUUUGUGAAGUUCAUUGGUUUGUUUCUUUAUUUUAUUCAUACGUGAUUUUCCUUCCCUAUGGGGAUUGGUGUGAACUAUAAAUUAGUAGACUGGUCUCCUUCGAUGAAAAUCCGAUUCUUUUUUAUUGGUAAUUUCACAUGGACCCACUGGUUCUUGAACCCAUGGCCCAUAUCCUCCCCCUUGAUCUUAUUAGGGAGGAGGUUCCAUAGAGUCAGAGCUAAUUGGCUAUGAAGUAUGAACAAUCGAAUUCUUAGGGAUUUGCUUUGGUAUUAUAGUGUUAGUAAUUUGUUUAUCCGUUUAUCUUGAAACUGACUUUGUAAAAAAUUUGAAGGUAUUUUCUUUUCCCUAGGCUGGUUGUUGAGUAGUGAGCCAAUGUCUUGCUUGAAGGACUAACUAAAUUUAUAAAUAGUUUAUUGGUGCUCUGUGAGUAUUUUGAAUAAUAUCACGAAGAUGCUACAAUGAGUUUAUUAGUUCUCUGUGAGUAUUUUGAAUAAUAGUUUAUCAAUGCUGUUACUUUUCAGUGCUAGUUAUUAUUCCCUUUCCAUACCCUCUAUAAAAUGCUAUAUGCUGAGCUUCAUGAAGACCAGGAAAAGGGCUGACUGUACUCAUUGUCAUGUGAUGUUGAAGGGGGUCUCCCUUGGUGCAAGGGGUCUGUAUAUCACACAGUUUGGCUUUUUUUCUGUGUUUUCUUAUAUGACUGUCAUUUCAUAACACAAACACAGAGAAUCUAAAAUGGCAGCUCUUCACAACCUGGAUGUUCAGGCCCAAUGACCUGGAAUUACCCUUUGCCACUUUGGCUAGGUGAGCAUCAUUGUGGAUCAAAGAGGCUAUCCUGGAUCAGCCACUAAUAUAUGGUUAUUUGUAAAUCUAUGGCUACCGUAUGAUAACACCCAAAGAAAAAGAAGAAGAAGAACACACUGACAUGUUAUCUUAGGUAGAUCAUUGGAGGUAGGCUUCUCAGUUGUGCUGCAAGGAUGCAUGGCAAAUUAGUAACGUUUCUUCUGGUGAUACUCACGGUAGACAUGAUCAGAAGAUGAGCUGGUGGCUGGAAAGUCAUUGGUGGUGGAGGGUGUUACUAGCAUGCUGCAGCACAACUAUUUUCGUUUAGGUAUUAUGGAAUGACAAAAAUUUGUGAAGAGGAUGGUACAAACCCGGUGUGCAAUAUCUUCUUACAAUUGUAGAUCUUAUGAGCAGAAUCUUGACAUGAGAGGAAUGUGCAGCUUAAAACUAACCUGUUUUACUGUGAAAGCUGAAAAGUAUUACCUAUACUCUUUGGGUCAGAUAAGAAUGAAGUUGACUGCAGUAGUCCAACUGCAGAGAGGAAUCAAUCAAAUUCUCAGAAGUCAGGCCAAGAUGAUGGUGUCAUUCCCAAUGUGUUCGAUAUUUCCAGUUAUGAUGAGAGGCUUGAUGAUCUUCCAAUUUUAGAAAUUUUCAAAAUUUGGGAUGCUGUUGCGAAAAGAGUACUUCUGAAGAUUAUGUGUGCAAUCAAUUCAAAAGGUUUUCACUCCCACUACAAGUGCUGCCUCUGAAUAUGGUAGAAAAAGAAAACUUUCAUCUGUAAGAGAUUGUAAAAAAUAGGCCAUCCCAUCUGUAAGUGUGGGUGCGAAGAAUUGGAAGGAAUGGCUCAUAUUUUGGCCAAUGACCAGUAUGUAGCUGCUAAUGGAGUCCAGAGUGAGGCUAGUGUCUGGGAAUGAUCCAUUAGACACUGCUGGGCUGAGCGAGGGGAUUCAAAAACAAAAAGGAUUCAAAAACAAAAAGGAUUAGCUACUGAUGGAGCUAAAGAAAGGAAGGAACAAAAGGCUGGAGCUCCAGUCUUUCAAUAACACUAUGGACGUUGAUGACUAUAUUCAGACUAUAGGAAGCAAGAGCCAGAAUCUUGGGCUAGAAGAGAGGAUUCAGAAGCUGGAGAAAUUGUUGGGGUUAAAAACAGAUGAAUACAGAGAUGCAGGAAAGAACCAAAGAUGAGAGAUCCAGUGGCUUAUAUGAUAUAAUGUAUUCUUAUUUUUAUUUUUUUGUUAACUCUUUCCAGUUCAUGUUGUGAAUCUUCUGUUUAUCUGAGCUUGUUGGUGCAAUGGGAACUUUUGUUUAUGAA